CUCUCUCUCUCUCUCAUAUAUCUCUUUUAUCUUUUGAUUAGAUAUUGUCUUUUCAUCCAUUCGAACCUGCAUAUCCUCUUCUCUCUCUCUUAUUCCUUUCUUCCUCAGACACAACUCAAACCUGCAUAUCCUCUUCUCCGUCGAAGCCACGAGAUCUGAAGAUUGAAGAUCAAAGUCACCAGAUCUGAAGAAUCCAUUUCUCAAAGCCACCAUUGAAGCCACGAGAUCUGAAGAUCGAAGCCACCAGAUCUGAAGAUCAAAGAUCGAAGAUCGAAGCCACCAUGUGUUCAUGUAGUCAUCCCUUUCUUUUGAAGCCACCAGAUCUGAAGAUCGAAGCCACCAUCGAAGCUCUCAAAGAAAAGUAGUAAGGUGAAUGGAUGUUUUGUGCUCAAGAUGAAGAUGGUUAUCUUAUGAUAGUUUUUGGAUAUUUUUAUAUAUUUAAGUUCAUAUAAAACACUUAUGUUAAGUUUAAGUUUGAUUGUAAUGUUUUUUUAUAAUAUAUACAAUCUAUUUGUCCCUU